rnacentral:tRNA from 1 species
GGGGCAUUGGCGCAGUUGGGAGCGCGCCACACUGGCAGUGUGGAGGUCAGGGGUUCGAACCCCCUAUGCUCCACCA